AUUGAACGCUGGCGGCAGGCCUAACACAUGCAAGUCGAACGAGUGGCGGACGGGUGAGUAAUGUCUGUGAAACUGCCUGAUGGAGGGGGAUAACUACUGGAAACGGUAGCUAAUACCGCAUACCAUCAGAUGUGCCCAGAGGGGAUUAGCUUGGUGGUGGGGUAACGGCUCACCAAGGCGACGAUCCCUAGCUGGUCUGAGCGGAUGACCAGCCACACUGGAACUGAGACACGGUCCAGACUCCUACGGGAGGCAGCAGUGGGGAAUAUUGGACAAUGGGCGCAAGCCUGAUGCAGCCAUGCCGCGUGUAUGAUGAAGGCCUUCGGGUUGUAAAGCACUUUCAGCAGGAAGGCGUUACCUGCAGAAUAAGCACCGGCUAACUCCGUGCCAGCAGCCGCGGUAAUUC
rnacentral:rRNA from 1 species